UCCAGUAUUUGAAAAUGAUUGGGCUCUCUGUGCCCUGGGCAUUGGUAAUGCAGGGAGAGAAACUGCCGAAAGCCUUUCUCUGUGUUUGGAGGGUUCACUCCCUUCCCUUCCAAACUGCGGAGCUUUUGCACA
rnacentral:snoRNA from 1 species